rnacentral:rRNA from 1 species
UAAUACAGAGGUGGCAAGCGUUGUUCGGAAUUACUGGGCGUAAAGGGCGCGUAGGCGGCCCGUCAAGUCCCGUGUGAAAGCCCCCGGCUCAACCGGGGAACGGCGCGGGAAACUAGCAGGCUUGAGUUCGGGAGAGGGAAGCGGAAUUCCGGGUGUAGCGGUGAAAUGCGCAGAUAUCCGGAGGAACACCGGUGGCGAAGGCGGCUUCCUGGACCGACACUGACGCUGAGGCGCGAAAGCUAGGGGAGCAAACGGGAUUAGAUACCCCGGUAGUCCUAGCCCUAAACGAUGAGCACUGGGUGUAGAGGGUAUGAACCCCUUCUGUGCCGAAGCUAACGCAUUAAGUGCUCCGCCUGGGGAGUACGGUCGCAAGGCUG